GACGAACGCUGGCGGCGUGCUUAACACAUGCAAGUCGAACGCUGAAGCUCAGCUUUUGUUGGGUGGAUGAGUGGCGAACGGGUGAGUAACACGUGAGUAACCUGCCUCCUUCUUUGGGAUAACUCCCGGAGACGGGUGCUAAUACUGGAUAUUCACUGGUCUUCGCAUGGGGGUUGGUGGAAAGGGCUUUUCUGGUGGGGGAUGGGCUCGCGGCCUAUCAGCUUGUUGGUGGGGUGAUGGCCUACCAAGGCUUUGACGGGUAGCCGGCCUGAGAGGGUGACCGGUCACAUUGGGACUGAGAUACGGCCCAGAGUACUACGGGAGGCAGCAGUGGGGAAUAUUGCACAAUGGGCGGAAGCCUGAUGCGGCGACGCCGCGUGAAGGAUGGAGGCCUUCGGGUUGUGAACCUCUUUCGCUCAUGGUCAAGCCGCAACAAUGGUUGUGGUGAGGGUAGUGGGUAAAGAAGCGCCGGCUAACUACGUG
rnacentral:rRNA from 1 species